rnacentral:tRNA from 1 species
AGUAAAGUGUCUGAAAAAUAGAGUAAUUUUGAUAGAAUUAAACAUGUAGAAUCUCUACCUUUGCUA